AUGCCGGCCAGCCCUGAGCAGCAGUUGAAGGAGAUCACCAAGGUCGACCUCCGAGGGCUGGAGCCUGGCCGGCCAGGGUGGGACGAAGCCCGGGACGCGGUGACCACGUCCAUGGUGGCGCACGGCUGCGCCAUGGUCCAUGUCCAGCACGUCGGGCUGGACGAGGACAUCCGGCAGGCGCUGUUCGGCCGCGCCAUGCCGGAGCUGUUCGCGCUCCCCGCGGAGGCCAAGCAGCGCAACGUCAACAGCGACGUGCAGUACAGAGGGUACAUCGGGCAGAUACCCGGCAUGGCGUACGAGAGCAUGCGCAUCAAGGACAUCACCGACGCCGUCCACAUCAGCGACUUCGCCGGUCUGCUCUGGCCGCAGGGCAACCCCGCCUUCUGUGACACGGUCGGGGAGUUCGCCAAGAAUGCUGUCAGCCUGGAGAAGACGGUGACGAGGAUGGUCUUGGAAGGCCUGGGCGUCCGGGACGAGCACGCCCUCGACUCGCACCGCGACCAGCUCUGCUACAGCUUCCGGAUGUCCUACUACGGCAUCUGCCCGGAGGAGAACACGGCCAAGGUGAGCCUGCCGGAGCACCGUGAGUACAACAUGACCACCACGAUCGUGCAGCACGAGGUGGAGGGCCUGGAGGUGCAGCUCAAGGACGGCAGCUGGUUCGCCGUGCCCCCCGAGCCGGACACGGUCGUCAUCGUCGCCGGCUAG
rnacentral:rRNA from 1 species